CGGGCGCGAAGCCGGUCUAAGUUCCUUGGAACGGGGCGUCAUAGAGGGUGAGAAUCCCGUAUGUGACCGGCGAUCAAGCCCAAGUGAAACUCCUUCGACGAGUCGAGUUGUUUGGGAAUGCAGCUCAAAAUGGGUGGUAAAUUUCAUCUAAAGCUAAAUACUGGCCAGAGACCGAUAGCGCACAAGUAGAGUGAUCGAAAGAUGAAAAGCACUUUGGAAAGAGAGUCAAAAAGUACGUGAAAUUGUUGAAAGGGAAGCGCUUGCAACCAGACCUGCCCGCGGGCGAUCAGCCGUCCCUCCGGGGCGGUGCACGCGCCCGCGAUCAGGCCAGCAUCGGUUCGGGCGGCCGGAUAAAGGCCUCGGGAACGUAGCUCCCCUCGGGGAGUGUUAUAGCCCGGGGCGCAAUGCGGCCCGCCUGGACCGAGGACCGCGCUUCGGCUAGGAUGCUGGCGUAAUGGUUGUAAGCGGCCCGUCUUGAAACACGGACCAAGGAGUCUAACAUCUAUGCGAGUGUUUGGGCGUCCAACCCUUACGCGCAAUGAAAGUGAACGGAGGUGGGAACCUUCGAGGGCGCACCAUCGACCGAUCCUGAUGUCCUCGGAUGGAUUUGAGUACGAGCAUAGCUGUUGGGACCCGAAAGAUGGUGAACUAUGCCUGAAUAGGGUGAAGCCAGAGGAAACUCUGGUGGAGGCUCGCAGCGGUUCUGACGUGCAAAUCGAUCGUCAAAUUUGGGUAUAGGGGCGAAAGUAAGUCAAUUUCUCC
rnacentral:rRNA from 1 species